rnacentral:lncRNA from 11 species
CUUUGGUCAUGCUUUCAAAAAUCUGCUCAACAAACAAAGACAGAAUAACCCCAAAGGGCCUUCUAAUUGCUAAGGUGUAAAGCCAGAUACUAGUCUGCUGCGAGACAUGAGUCCCACUGACACAUUCUAUCUGCAUUUGUUGAACAUAAGGCGAGAAAAAUUGUACCUGCUGUCCCUGCUUUCAGUCUCUCGGAGCAUUCAGACAAAGCUAUACAAACGGAUCUUCCCACAUUACCUAUGGACACACCCCCAAGACACCAGAAACGGAGGACCAUUAUCCUCGGCCUACAAGGGAUCGGCUAAGUAAGUAAGUACUGAAAGCAAGUUUGUGCAUUUUCCCCCUCUCAGUUGUACUCAUUUAUAU